GCCGGGUGCGGUGGCGCGCGCCUGUAAUCCAAGUUACCGGGAGGCUGAGGCUGGCGGAGCGUUUGAGCUCAGGAGCUCUGGGCUGCAGCGGACUAUGUCGAUCGGGUGUCCGCACUAAGUUCGGUAUCGAUAUGGUGCUCCGGGGGGAGCCCCGGAUCACCAGGUCGCCUAAGGAGGGGUGCACCGGCCCAGGUCGGACACGGAGCAGGUCAAAGCCCCCGUGCCGCUCAGUAGUGGGAUCGCGCCCGUGAAUAGACGCUGUAGUGCAGCCUGAGUAAGACAGCGGGACCCAGUCUUUA
ensembl:misc_RNA Metazoa_SRP Metazoan signal recognition particle RNA